UGACGCUUUCAAAGAGGCAUGUUGGCCAAGUUGGCUGGACCGAGAGCAGAGGCGGUACCAUAAUGUUACCUGCACCCAGCGGUUGAAUCCGCGUCACAAGCGCUACCAGGCAGCGCCAUCUAGUGGGCAGAGCUCAGCAUUGAUCCGUCUUUAAAGCCUUCUCCUCUCCAAAACUUGGAAGGAUGUCAAACUAAUUUUAAUAUUUUAGGAUUAAAAUUAGAUGAACUAUAGAUUUUCAGACUUUUUAUUUAUUACGUCCUCAAUGAAGUCAGAAUGGCUCCUAUUCUGUAGGACAUGAGCUUCUUUACUAUCGCCAGGCUCGAUAAACUAAAAAAGUACGAAGUUGUGGUUUUAAUGACGCGUACGCGUGUGGUUUAAUUGUGAAAAGAUAAAUAUUUAAAAGCCCGUUUGUGUGCUGACUUUAAUGUAAACUGGUGUGCCUGUCCCCCAUUCAUUUACUUCAUUCAUUCACAAUUUUGCAUGAUGUUUAGGAUUUGUUUCAACUUCAUGAGAUUAUAAUCUAUGGCGUCUAACUUUAAGCCCAGGUAUGCAGUGUUUCAAAAAGAAAAAGAAAAAAAAAAAGCAGUUGAUCGCCAUGGUGCCUUGUGCUGCAGAGCUAACCCUAGUACAGAUUAUCAGUGUGUCAGUGCGCCCCAGGGUGGCUGUGGCUACAAUGUAGCUUGCCAUCACCAGUGUGUGAAUGUGUGUGUGAAUGACUGGAUAUGUAAAGCGCUUUGGGGUCCUUAGGGACUAGAAAAGCGCUAUAUAAAUACAGGCCAUUUACCAGGCCAGAUUAUGUUUAAAGUAUGAAAUUCCCACCAGUUGCCUAAAAAAAAAAAAAAAUAAAAAUAAAAAAUAAAAAAUAAAUGGCCCUCAGUGCGCUCAAGUCUUUGCAUUUCUGCAUUACUGAACGUCAUUACUAAAGCCUGAUUCUUAGACCUGAGAAUAAAAUGUGCUUGUAAACGUUUAUAUCAGAGCAGUCCAAUUCAGGCUUUAUAUUCAAGCCUUUCACCCCCUUAAACACCAACAGGGCUGCAAACAGAACAUGUAUGGUAAUCCACCAGAUUCUCCAGUUUCUGAAUGACAGAUACUCUUUACCUACAGUCAGCAUUUAUCUUGCAGGCUUUCCUUUGUGAGUUCAAAUAGGUUGAACCAUUUUCCCCCAGAGCAGACCUUUUUCCAAACUGAGCAAAGCACGCACACACACACACGGUUGCGUCCCCCCCUUGUCCACUGCUCCCGUAAUACUUUGCACUGUGUAAUCAGUGUCAACUUAUCCAUGUUUGUGAUUGGUCAGAAGUCACCAAUGUCCCCUCUUUCAUAUGAACUCGCUCAGACGCAGAUUGAGAAACCCCAUGUUGAUUUAUCUAGUGAAUGGCCACCUUCAUGUGACUGUGCCUGCACUAUAAAUGCAGGUCUU
ensembl:lncRNA